GAUGCAACCAUACAAAGCGCAGCAUAAAACGAAUGAGCACUCAGCUGUAACCGUGCCCUUAACUUGUCAAUGUUCUGUUCCACAGUUCGCACUUCAAGGAUCACACGUUUGCAAAGCUGGGUCCUUACGAACAAAAUAACGCUAAAUCGGUGAGCGUGCGGCGUUGAGUUGACGAUACAAGUGAUGCUAACGCUGAAGAACAGCAAGCGUGAAAGCCAUUCAGAAAACAACAGUUGACAUCGACCACAGGAUGUGCAAA